GAUGAACGCUGGCGGCGUGCUUAACACAUGCAAGUCGAACGGGAAACCUUUUAAUGAAGCUUCGGCAGAUUUAGCUGGUUUCUAGUGGCGGACGGGUGAGUAACGCGUGGGUAACCUGCCUUAUACAGGGGGAUAACAGUCAGAAAUGACUGCUAAUACCGCAUAAGCGCACAGGACCGCAUGGUCCGGUGUGAAAAACUCCGGUGGUAUAAGAUGGACCCGCGUUGGAUUAGCUUGUUGGUGGGGUAACGGCUCACCAAGGCGACGAUCCAUAGCCGGCCUGAGAGGGUGAACGGCCACAUUGGGACUGAGACACGGCCCAGACUCCUACGGGAGGCAGCAGUGGGGAAUAUUGCACAAUGGGGGAAACCCUGAUGCAGCGACGCCGCGUGAAGGAAGAAGUAUCUCGGUAUGUAAACUUCUAUCAGCAGAGAAGAUAGUGACGGUACCUGACUAAGAAGCCCCGGCUAACUACGUG
rnacentral:rRNA from 1 species